AUAACGCCGUUUGAAUCAUAUUUCAGCCACUGUGGGCAACAUCAUCAUCAUAUACCAGCUGAUCAGGUGGUGGUGCGUAUAUAACGCCGUAACCUUUUCCCAUAUCCCAUAUACAUAUAUAUACAUACAUAUAUACGCGUAUAUAACGCCGUCUGAGUCAUGGGUCAAUGUACAUAUAUAAAUGCAUGAAAUGCAUAUGAGAUACAAUAACAAAAUCUCUCGAUACAUCAUAAGACCAUUAUACCUUUGAUUAAUAUCGUAAAAUCAUUUUACGUAUUUUCUGAGACCCAUGAACAAACGAUAUAUGGAAAUUCAAGAACAUAGGCAUUUCUAGUACUUUUAUGAAUAGAGUCAUAUAUGAAAUUUGUGCAUUUGCACAUUUCGUUCGUAUCGUAUGGAUCAUGCCAAAAUAAAGAAGGGAUAGCCUUAACAUACCUUAAGUGAUUCCCUUGAGAAAGAUUGCACCGUACUCCCUUAUAAUUGCAAAAUCUUAUGUUUCUUAUUAAAUCUGGGUUGAAUUGUUGAAGAUCCUUUCUUCUUAAAGUUUGAUAUAUGCACUUCUCUUUACAUUAGAGAGGCAUACGUGAAGUAUCAACAAGGAAGAUCAAACUGGACAACCAAGCGUACUCAUAACAGUAACAUUAGCCAAAUACCUACUAAGCGUUCUAUAAUUUUAUUUGGUAUUAUAAUGGGAAAAUGUUAUGUGUUCUUUCUAAGGUAUACUCACGUUACUUGUAGUUGAAAGAACACUACAUCUGAAUCUCUUCAAGAUCUAAAAGGCCAAAUGAAUUAAAUGGUCAUAAAUUUGUGUUUGAGUGGAUGUGGCCCACUUCAUGUGGUGGCUUAACCACAUGCCUUUAAUUUGCCACCUUUCAAUUUAAUGUAAGAGUCAUUUUAAUUUGAAAGUAGGGGCUGCCACCUCAUGCCUCCAAUCUUUAUCCAAUAUAAUUGCUUAAUUAAUUGAGAAAUAUUCCAUUAUCGAAUAAUUAACCCAUCAUCUAUAUAAUUAAGAAUUAUCUCAAAUUACUUAAAAUACUACUCACUUUUAACACACCUUAUGCUUCUCACUAUCAUGGCGACAGGGUACCUUGUAUGGUACUAGUCCAUAAAUACUGGAUAUUUUAGCUCGGGCCGCAUUUUAUCCCAAAAAUGUCAAACUUCAACGAAAUUUAUUUUCUUUGAUUUGCUUACCUUCUCACCUUCACGAAUUUACUCGUUACUUGUUUGAAAUAGCAUAAUCCUUAUAAUCCCAAAAUAAUCUUUUCCUUGGACUGAUGUCAAUUACCUUACGACAAAUUUAACGUAAAAUAUUGCAGGGUGCAAUACUGUCGUAACUUAUUACUGCGAAGCGUAACAUCUCCGUAAUGUAAUAUUGCUGGGUAGAACACUGUCGUAAUAUAUUACUGCAGAGCAUACCAUUGUCGUAAUACAAUACUGCGAGACAUAAUAUUGACGUAAUAUUACGGGGUGUAACAUCAUUCUCCCCUUUGGAACAUUCGUCCUCGAAUGUUGACAGAUGCUCUUAUCAUUUUCGUAACUUAUUGCUUUUAUGAAUACAUUAAUACUCUUCUUGUCAUUCCAGCAGUUGUUCUGUGAAUAAAUCCAAAGUCUAGGAUAUUUUCCCCUUUAGUCUUUUUGCUCAUAUCAUGAACUGUGGUCGAAAUCUUCAUAAUCUUGCAACGUUUGUUACCUCUUGUCAUGCAGCCCGUAUGACCCUGGCUUUAUAGGUGCACUUAUGUAAUUCAUCUUUCCUUUUUCCUUUUUAACUCUUAGUCAAUCUCUGAGUCUUACUUUGUAUAUAUAAGGCUUAAUAGGAUGCCUCUCGGGCCUCUAUAGGUAUACUGAAGUCCUUUACUCGAUACUUUAUAGAACUUGCGAAUAUGGCCAUAUCUUAUUUCGUGGAUUUGGCUACCCAUUCACAUGACUUUACUGUAUUUACCAUAAUUUCUGCUUCAACCUACCUUUACUGAGGUACGCUUACCAAGCUCCCAGUUACUUUUGUUGCGUAUCCUUUAGGUAUAAAUCUCAAUCCUUCAAUGCUCCUUCAUUACCAUUCGUCUUAAGAACGACGGCCUAAUCUCAUCUCAUAGUUUGUGACUUUUGUCCAUCCAUUAUUGAUUCAUCUCAAUUUUGAUCCAUAAUCCACCCCUGAUAACUUAACCUUUUAUGUAAUAUUGCUGCUAGGAUUCACGUUUUAUUGGGGGACAUCUGAAAUGAUUAGAUUGAUCCAUCUGAGGCGAUACCCUGCUUUCAUAACCGUAUCUCACGGCAUCCCAAUGUGAUUUACCUUUCGUGGAUAUUUUUAUUCUGUCCAAUUCAUGAGAUCCCUUUCUUUUAUUUGUCAGAUCAUUACUCAAUCGAAGGCCCAAACAUCAUUUUUAUCUAUAAUAAUUACACCCUCAUUCUAUUAACGGGGCAGCAUUCCAUCUUUUUUGAAUGUUACUAGCGUUAGACUCCUUUGAGUUCAUUCAGGCUAUACUAAACUUUCAAUGACUUAGAGAAACCAUUAUCUCUCUUCUUUUCAUGGACUUAAUCCUGAGGACUUAUCCUUUUUCGUCGCCUUUUUACUUGCCUUUCCUCAUUCUUACUCAUGUUUUCUUAAAACUUUAUCACUCUACCAUACUUUAGCAUGCGACCUAUAGAUAUCCAUUUAUAAUACUCGCAACUUUCCUUCAACUUGCUUGCACAAUGGAUUUUCUUAUGUUAUUCUGGAAUGUCAACCGAUACAACACAUCGUCUCCAACUCUUCUCUAUUAUUUUAACUAAGUCUCUCAAUACUUAAAAACCAUAGGUUGGAAGACAUGCUGCUGACGAUGCCGCUAUCCCGGUUAUUGGAUCUCCGUGCUUAUAGCUUUCUAUCCGAAGUAUGGACUAUUCACGAUCUUCUGCCUUUAGAUAUCUCGUACGUUGUUCACCUUUACUUUACUUACCUUAAAAUAUCGUAUCGUAUCUUCUAUCUCUUUUCUGACCUCCCUUCCACCUAGGUGUAAUUCAAGUCCAUAACUUGAAGCUCUAUUAUAAUACUCGCACCUCUGGUAUAUACAUAAUCCGGUAGGAGCUUUGUACUGACUUCUUAUGAGGCUAGUAUUCUUCAGUUGGCUUCAUCAUAGAGCUAUUAUAAAAUAUGGCUACUAUACUAUCUUUCUUAUACCUCUGCUACUUAACAGUGAUCCUGAGGUCUAUAAUUCUCUUGGUCCCUUCUGUUUUGCUUAGUUAAUGUAACUCUUUAGUCUCCCCUUCUUUCUAAUGAGCCUCUAUGUAGGCUUAAGCUAUCUUCUGAUCCGUGGCUCAUGGUAUCAAUUAUUACCUUAAAUUUUCAUGGGCAUUAUGGAAUAUCCAUGAUACAAUCUUCUAACAAUUCAAUCCUUUGGCUAUGCCCUGGGCUCAAUUCUUUCUUUUAACUUAUACCAGAGUCUUCUAUGAUUGUGUGAUUGUCAACAAUUAUACUGCCUGGAUAAUGUUCCAAUGUCUUGAGUGUAUCUAUAACAUACUAACUCUGAAUCAUUGAUCGAAUAAUUCUUCCAUUUCAUCUUAGUUUUCUUUCAAUGUCAGCUAUUACUUUUCCUGGUCUUUCUGCCCCUUUGUUGCGUCCAUACUUAGAUUAUCUUAGUGCCCACACUUGCAAGAGUAUCCAUACAACUCAUAUGAUCUCAAAUAUUACUUUUAAUUCUUACUUCCCGUUCAUUAGCCACGGUAGGUGCCACUUUCCUUUGGAGUGCUUACAAUGUUGUUAUAUGACUGUUGUUACACGACCAUUUCCUCUUUAGGUCGUUGUGCUUGGGUUGAAGCCUUCUUCCUGAUUUCCUCAGCUAGUCUUUUGUUGUAGUACUUAGGUAGAAACCUUGACUCUCAUAAAGUUGUGAGCUUAUUACGGACCUUUUGAUGUCCUUCCUUGCCUAUGCUUAUCCGUAGUUACUUAUCUCCACGCCCUUGUGCUUGUAGGGUUGCUUCUGAACUGAUAUUUUGACUAUCUCCCUAGUGGUACUCUCUUUUAUUCCCAUAACAUUCAUAUGGUACCUUUAACUACCCUAACUCCUCUCUGAAUAUAUUUCAAGUAUUAUAAUAACAUUACUGCGAAGCUGAAUUCACUAUAUUGGGUUUUACUACGUUUAUCUUGCACGAUCUUUUGAUUCGUCUGUAACCUCAUGUCUAGCCGUAACUAGGCCCUUCCUUAAUUAAAUGCUAACUACUAGUUGGCCCAUUCUCAUAUAAAUAUUUCACAUAACAAUUCUUGGGUUAUUUCCUUUGUCUUAACUUACGUCUCGCGCUGGCUCCUUAUUUAUUCAUAAUAUUCCGGCAGGAACGCCUCACUUCUUCUCCUUAACGUCGUGUUUGCAUAAUGUUCUAGGAUCGUAGCCUAUCUGUAGGCUUUGAAUAGUGCGAUCUCAUCCCUUUCCUAUUUUUAUUGCAUUCUUCCUUUGCCAUUUUGUAGCUACUAGAACCACUUAAUUCUGACUUAACACCACAUAACUCCAUAUUCCCCCCUUUAGGGGUGUACUAAAAGCUGAAGCCACGAGGAUCUACCUAUAGAUGUUUUACCUCUUUAUCAUUGGUGCCGUUUCUCAACAUCAAUGAUCCUUACUUGCCUUGUGACAAUCCUUCUGUACCAAGGAUGACAAAUUCUCUUACUCGCGAGAGUGACACAUAGCAUAACUGGCACAUACAGUCUCUUAAGCUUAAUUUUGCUCACAUUGUUUGCUCUAGGGAAGCAUCUCCCUGAAUGAAUAUUCUUUGAAUUCAUCGUGAAUCUUUUUCUGUGGUCCCUUCUAUUACCGUUGGAACGAAAUCUGAAAUUCCCAUGAUGCCGAGUACUUUUUAAUCAUGCAGUCCCAAAUUCAUAUUUGGUUUAUCUUGUUUACCAAUUCAUACUGAUUUCUGUUACUCUGGGGAUUAACUCUCCCCUCUGGUAGUUGUGGUGGAGUCACGAACUUAUUUCUCAAAACGAGGAUAUAACCUUAUGGCCUAUAUUCUUUCGUUGCCUUAAGACCCAUCACCUUUCGUCUCUUCCUUCAUUUGACUAUAAGUUCUGUAAUACUCUAGCGUUUUUAUCCAUGUAUCACACCUUAUUCAUAAUGCUUCUUUAUCUCUCUUCCCAUUAUUCUGCUAAUAUUCUGCAUAUCCCUUUUCUUGUGAAAACUUGAUUACGACAUUCUUUCGCUCUUAGCUUUCCAUUGUUCUAUUUAGUGGCUCUUCGAGUUGCUAAACGUUCUCACUUUACUAGAGACGCGAGCCACAUUAGGGUAAUAUGUAUCCCUUCAAGGCUUAUAGUGCAUGUCUUUGUAGCACUCAUAUCUGGCUGCACUUUUUCAAAGUGCACCGUCUGGUGUCUCAUAAGGAGAUCUAUUAGCAUAUUUGCAAUAUCCUUCGGAAAUGUCAACUGACGCAAAUAAUUCAUCCAUCAUAUCUUCUUAUACUACUUUUGUUAACACCUAUAGGGCAUAUCUGGAAAGGGUGCGACCAAUUGUAUAUACCUUUGUUACUAUCGAAUAUAACUCAAAAAGCUUAUGUUUCUCUACCUCAAUUAUAAAUGUUGUUAACAUUCAUCAACUGGGCACCUCGUAUCCUUUUUCACCUUGCUCCUUUUAUUUGCUGAAACUUAUACUUAUCUUCUCUAUCUCUCAUUGUCCUUCAUCAUAAAUAUGGAUAGGUAUUCUUGCCUUAAGACUUCUUAUCAGGAAGCUUACACCUUUCAGUACACUCAUGAUCUGCUAAAAACCUCACAUUUACUUAUCGUAGGCAUCAUAGAAAAAUCCAAUUGCUCUGACUCAGCUCUUCCACAACUAUAUCUCUUUUCAACCUUUUUUCCGGAUAUAGGUAUCGUCUUAUUACGAAUAAAAUAGAAUUUCGAAACUUGAAUUCUUAUAAGUGAGCUCUACCACACGAUCUAGAGUAAGAAGAAAGAGUGACAAUCUUAAAUGCCCUGUAUCCUUCUGUUUAUAAGUGUGGUGCACGACACACCCAUAAACAAGACUCUACUAGACACGACUUGUAGACUUCCUAGGACAAAACUGCUCUGAUACCACUUUUGUCACGACCCAAACCGAUGGGCCGCGACGGGCACCCGGUACCUUACUCAAUCGAGUACCAACGUAACGUAUUUUUCUUAUUACAUUAUCAUAUACACAUGACAUACGACCCUAAUAGGCCAACAUGAUUAUUUAUAAACUCAAGACAUCAGCCGACAAGGCCGUACAAUCUUUCACGUACAAGACAUAUGUCUACAAGCCUCUAAGAGUACAUAAGUGUCACAAAGGUCGGGACAGAAUCCCGCCAAACCAAACAAUAGAUGUCUAAAUUAUACUAACCAAAUACGCAACUCCGAAGCAAAUGGAGCGCACCAACAUCUUCCGCUGAGCUGAUAGCCUACUUAGAGGGAUCUCGACCUGUCUAUCAGGACCUGCGAGCAUGAAACGCAGCGUCCCCAAGCAAAAGGGACGUCAGUACGAAUAAUGUACCGAGUAUGUAAGACACAUAAAUAAAUACAUACAAGACAUGGAAAAAAUAUAGAGUACAUGACUCAACCUGUAAGUCUGAAUAACUUUGUAAAUCAUAAAUUACCUUUAGCGUCAUGCAUAUAGGUAUGAAUGUCAUGUCGUGCAUAGGUACAUGUUUCAUAACAUCAUAGCCUCUAAGGGCAUCCCAUCAUAUCAUAUAGGCCACUGUGGGCAAAAUCUUCAUCGUAUANNNNNNNNNNNAACAUCAUUUUACGUUUUUUCUGAAACCCAUGAACAUACGAUGGAAUAAUAAUACAUAUGGAAAUUCAAGAACAUAGGCACUUCUAGUACUUUUAUGAAUAGAGUCAUAUAUGAAAUUUGUGCAUUUGCACGUUUCGUUCGUAUCGUAUGGAUCAUGCCAAAAUAAAGAAGGGAUAGCCUUAACAUACCUUAAGUGAUUCCCUUGAGAAAGAUUGCACCGUACUCCCUUAUAAUUGUAAAAUCUUAUGUUUCUUAUUAAAUCUGGGUUGAAUUGCUGAAGAUCCUUUCUUCUUAAAGUUUGAUAUAUGCACUUCUCUUUACAUUAGAGAGGCAUACGUGAAGUAUUAACAAGGAAGAUCAAACUGGAUAACCAAGCAUGCUCAUAACAGUAACAUUAGCCAAAUACCUACUAAGCGUUCUAUCAUUUUAUUUGGUAUUGUAAUGGGAAAAUGUUAUGUGUUCUUUCUAAGGUAUACUCACGUUACUUGUAAUUGAAAGAAC
rnacentral:lncRNA from 1 species